rnacentral:misc_RNA from 1 species
CCCAAUUAAAUAUUCACAUAUUUAAACCUCCAUCCUCAAGCUUCAACCAAUUAUAUAAAAUUUAAUUAUCUUAAUUUCAAUUAAUCUUAUAUGCCCACAUGCUAAAAAUAUAACUAAAAUCCAUCCAUAUUUCUCAAAAAUAUUCUACGAUCACCCAAAAAUUCAACUAACACCAUAGAAUAUCUCCAAAUAAUUUUACUUUCAUCAUAUAUUUUUCUUAGAAUUUUUCUCCAAUUUUUCCUGUUUAAGAAACACUGUAUUUAUGCUCCACAGACAGAGAAAUAAUAAAAAUUGUCUUACCCGAAGUUUAUCUGUGUCUCAAAAAUUNNGGGGGGGGGGGGGGGGGACUUAAAAAAAAAAAGACCCCCCCCCCGGGGCCCCCCCCCGCCCCCCCGGGCCGGGGGGGCCGCCCGCCGGUCGCCGGCGAUAUUUGCCGAAUCUGAUCAUACCACCAUGUUCCUCUC